GUGCAUAUUUUUUUGAGCAGUAUUGUCACAAAUCCAGUCUAUGAACUUCUGUUCACUCACCACCAGAGGUCACGCGCUCACUACAUUGAC